rnacentral:rRNA from 1 species
CAGUAGCCGCGGUAAUACGGAGGGUGCAAGCGUUAAUCGGAAUUACUGGGCGUAAAGCGUGCGUAGGCGGUUCGUUAAGUCUGUUGUGAAAGCCCCGGGCUCAACCUGGGAAUGGCAAUGGAUACUGGCGAGCUAGAGUGUGUCAGAGGAUGGUGGAAUUCCCGGUGUAGCGGUGAAAUGCGUAGAGAUCGGGAGGAACAUCAGUGGCGAAGGCGGCCAUCUGGGACAACACUGACGCUGAGGCACGAAAGCGUGGGGAGCAAACAGGAUUAGAUACCCCAGUAGUCCCUGUCUCUUAUAC